UGAGCAGACCAGUGGGAGGGCCACGUGGGAGGAAACCGAGGCCACAGCUGUGUUUAAGGCUUUAGAAAGGAUCCUCUACCCCAUCAGGACCCUCAGAAGACAGCGGCCCUGGUGACACCUUGGCUGCAGCCUCAGUGACCUGUCACCUAACAAAGUCCUUCCUCCAUUCAUGACCCUCAGAAACUGACACCACAUUUGAGUGUUUUAAGCUGCUAAAUUUACUGGUAUUUUGCUGUGUAACAAUGGAUCACUAAUCCAAGUACCUCGCAUAAGCAUCACGUCAAAGCCUGGGUCCUCUGUCUCCUGAUUGGCAGUUGUACCUGUUCAUGCACUUACACCUCCAAAAUGCACCAUGGCAAAUUCAAAUGCAGGACUUGCGUGGGUCAGCCGUCCUCAUCGAGUCUGCCUCGUGCAGGCAGCUUCCAGCUGUUCUCCGGGGUCUCUCUCCUCUCUCCACCUCUUAUCUCUACUGAACACGCACCUGGCCAAGUUCUCAUGAUUCACCUGUGAAGCCAUGCUGGCUCCUGUCCCUCUGCUCCGGCUCCUGCUGCUCCUCUCUCAGGUGGCUCUGUCACUGUUAUGUUAGCAGCUUUAUAGAUGCCUUGUGUGGCUGCAGCUCCAAUGGAAAAGCAGGAAUGAUGUGAAAGAAGGAUGGACCGUGAAAGGGAGAAGACCACUCCACUCAUGUGGUUCAGGCUCCAGGGGACCCCAUAACACUCAAUUCUAAUGACAUCAUCUGAGCAGCUUCCAGGGGACACUGAGCUCUGGCAUCUCAUCCCUACCUGUUGUACAAGAGUGCUCCCCUCAUUUCAAGCAAUUAAACCUGAUUCCUCUACCAUU